UUGAUCCUGGCUCAGAAUCAACGCUGGCGGCGUGCCUAACACAUGCAAGUCGUACGAGAAAAUGGGGGCAACUCCAUGAGUACAGUGGCGUACGGGUGAUUAACACGUGACUAACCUACCUUCGAGUGGGGGAUAACCUCGGGAAACCGUGGCUAAUACCGCAUAACAUCGCAAGAUCAAAGCAGUAAUGCGCUUGAAGUGGGGGUCGCGGCUGAUUAGCUAGUUGGUGGGGUAAUGGCCCACCAAGGCUGUGAUCAGUAGCCGGCCUGAGAGGGCGCACGGCCACACUGGAACUGAAAUACGGUCCAGACUCCUACGGGAGGCAGCAGUGGGGAAUUUUGCGCAAUGGUGGAAACCCUGACGCAGCAACGCCGCGUGGAGGAUGAAGGUCUUUGGAUUUUAAACUCCUUUCGACCGGGACGAUAAUGACGGUACCGGGGGAAGAAGCAUCGGCUAACUCUGUGCCAGCAGCCGCGGUAAUU
rnacentral:rRNA from 1 species